rnacentral:rRNA from 1 species
GACGACGCUGGCGGCGUGCCUGACACAUGCAAGUCGGACGGUUCUUGUACCUUCAAGCUUGCUUGUUGGUGCAAGGAUAGUGGCGGACGGGUGAGUAACGCGUGAACAUCUACCCAUUGGAGGGGGACAACCCGUCGAAAGGCGGGCUAAUACCGCGUAAGCCGCGAGGUGAGAGGCUGCCUAUUGGUGGCCGCCGAUGGAUGGGUUCGCGUCCUAUCAGCUGGUUGGUGGGGUAACGGCCUACCAAGGCGAAGACGGGUAGCCGGUCUGAGAGGAUGGCCGGCCACACUGGAACUGAGACACGGUCCAGACUCCUACGGGAGGCAGCAGUGGGGAAUAUUGGGCAAUGGGGGAGACCCUGACCCAGCGACGCCGCGUGAGGGACGAAGGUUUUCGGAUCGUAAAGCCCUGUUGAGGGAGAGAAAGCUACUGUCGGUUAAUACCCGGCAGUGGUGAUAGUAUCCCUAGAGAAAGCACCGGCUAACUACGUG